rnacentral:lncRNA from 1 species
CCGGUCACUUUAUUCAUCCAUCUAAAUUAACCAGUCCAUUCUUGCGUGCAUACAACAUACGAUACACACAUACUAUUUUAGCGAUGGUAGUGGCGCAUCAGUCCUGGGGUUGCAGCAAGUGCAGUCAAGCACCACACACCUCCCAUGGGACCAGCCGUGACUCUUGCAACAACUAUCGCAAGCACCUGAACGGAAGCAAGUGAAAAAGAUACAUUUUACAUCAGACUUGCAGGCUUCACCGCUCACGUCAUCCUUGUUCCCAGGCCCCUCUGAAACGUAACCUGACCAUACAUAUCCAUCUAGAUGUUAGUUAAGAAACCAUUUCAAUUAAUUAAUUUUGCAGACCUUGAUCAUUAUUUAAUUCUUUUCUAGACACCACGGUUGUAUCGUAUAGUAUCACCGAUCGAUCGAGCACACCUAAAAGAAAUAGACUUUGACUUUUUAAAAAAAAAUUACAUAAGUACAGACGCGGACGCGCUUAAUAUGCAUGCACAUUCAUCCCUAUGAGCACCUCCGAAAGACUGUGAUGGUAUAUCUCGAGAUUGACGAAGUCACCACAGGCGUCUCGCGGUCGAUGGAAACAUUGCCUACCACCGAAAGCACAAACGUCGUUAAUUUUUUUGUAUAAAUCUACAAAAAUGUAAACACCUGUGUCAAGUUGAGGACUUGAACCCGAUGGACAGAUUCCACCAUAAGGGACCUAACCAACUGAGGUAGACACAGUUAGCGAAUAGACUUGACUACAAGAGAUGAAUGUGAAUGGUUGUAUCGACCGGACCGCCCCUAUAAAUAAACAUCUAGUUUCGAGGACACAAUUAGUGUCACCAAGAGACCCUACCACAUUAGUUAUUCCCUAAUUUCUAGGUGGUACGGUGUGUUUUCUAACAACCGUAGAAAUCCAUAUCUAGAGACAAGUUGCAUAUAUAAUCGCCCCUAGAAGUCCAUGAUUUCUAAAGACUGUUGUGUAAAUUGUCUAUAAAAAUCAAAUUUAACCAUAUACAUGGUGUUAGUCGCAAGUUGAUGUUGUAAUAACCAACAAGACUUACGUGAGGUAACGAGGAUGCUGCUCAGCAUCAGCAAAACAAUUAAUGGGAAAAUUAGGAUUUUCUGCAGCUUCAUUGUUAUAUUUGUCCUCGUCAUCGCUAUUGUACUAGCAACUGAGAUGGAUAUAUAGAUGUGAGAAAGCAAGUGACCUGGAUAUUUAUCAUAUACAUCC